ACGCUGCGUGUCCGGUUGGGAGACCGCGCUAGUCGCGGCGGCGACGGCUGCUCGGCUCGGCCUGCCCCAGCCUCGUCGUCACGUCACGUCACGUCGUUUCGCUUCUCCCGGCCUGUUGCGUCCGUCUUGCCGUGACUACCGCACCGCCGUUCAGUCGCGCUGCCGGCAUCAUCCCGCUCGCAAGCGUACAACACGGGCCUCCCCGGCCCUCGUCCGAAAAGUGGCCGCGCCGCCAGGCGCCGUUUUUCCAGUCUCUCGUUUCGGGUCUCGGCGUUUCCGGCUCGGGCGAGGCGCUUUUUCCACGCACCCGUAGAAACCCCGGCUGCGCUUUUGGUGCGCGAACGCACACACUCGUGACCCUCCGUCGACCGCGCGGCUCUCCGCUGAAACCGGUGAGGACUCGAUGACUGGAAUAUAUAUGAUUACAUGUCUUUUUUUUUAUUGAAGCUACUUUGUUAAAUUAAAGUAGCGUCUCGCUCAGUCUUCUCCGACGGGUCUCUAUUAUGAAGGACUUCUCCGGAAAAGUGCAGGAUCGAGAAUCGAUCGAGUGAUUCCGUUCUCGCGAGACGGAGAGAUUUGCUGCGAUUGGCAAUUUUCGAACCCGAGAUUCAGUUCGGGUUCGCUCGACGAGGAAAUUUUCCGGCGUCGGUUUAACAAUCGACGGCAAGCCGUCUGUGAUCGUCCGGAGAGAGGCUCUCAGAGAGAUCUCAUUUACCAGAUAUUGUCCGUAAGUGAACCCAUGCGGAGUCGAUUGUGCGGUUUGUGGCAGUUUGUGGUUGUGGGGUGAAAUGUAACACACGCAGCAUUCCUCGUCGCAAGAGAGGCAAGAGAAAAAGCGCGAGCGAAAGAAGCUGCGGAUGGUGGAUUCGAGGAAGAAACGUUCGCUGGCGUUCCGGAGAAUUACCCGCCGUGCGCAUCUGUCUCCUGCACAUUCUUCAGUCAUUUCGAGACCGCCGACACGAGACGACAUGACGUUUUCCGUCGCCACGAAGGAAGAGCUCGACGCUCUCGUCCGCACCACGAAGGAAGUUCCUUGGUUUUAGCAGCGGGCGAAGCGAUGGGAUUGGCCGGAGGGAACUCUCCGACGGGACAAAUCGCUGCUACAGCCGAGCUGGUAAUCGCGGCCACCAUGACGAGGAUGAGCGAAGAUCCAGAAACCCCUGAAGAAGAGCGCAAAUGGGAGAGGUGACGUAUCCAGUGAUGCGUAAACGGCGUGGACUGGGUAGCGCCUUUCUGGGCCUCUUCGUGGGUCUACUUCUGGGUUUCCUGGUACUCAGCUACCGUCUGAUCGUUUCCAAUCAGCAACAGCAGGUCGCCAUGUGGACCUCCAUGCCUGGGCUGCGGUCGCCGCCGAGAGCGUCCGCUCGGAACAUGCCGAGGCUGAAGGACGACGAGCGAAUCAACAGCUCGACCUCGAGUCUCGUGUUUGUGGGCGUGAUGACGGCUCAGAAGUACCUGGACACGCGGGCUAAGGCCGUCUACGAGACCUGGGGCAAAGAGCUACCCGGCAAGAUUGCCUUCUUCUCGUCCGAGUCCUCCACCGUGCCCGACAACUGCCCGGAGUUGCCUCUGGUGCCGCUCCCGCGGGUGGACGACACCUACCCGCCACAGAAGAAGUCCUUCAUGAUGCUGCAGUACAUGUGGAGCAACUUUGGCGAUCGCUUCGAGUGGUUCCUUCGGGCGGACGACGACGUAUACGUGAGGACCGACCGGCUGGAGAAGUUGCUGAGGUCCGUCGACUCCAGAAGAGCGAUGUACAUCGGUCAGGCCGGCAGGGGUAACUCGGAAGAGUUCGGAUUGCUGUCGCUGGAUUACGACGAGAACUUUUGCAUGGGUGGCCCGGGGGUGGUGCUAUCCAGGGAGACCCUGAGGAGGAUCGUGCCGCACAUCAAGUACUGCCUGCGUCACUUGUACACCACGCACGAGGACGUCGAAUUGGGCAGAUGCGUAAAGAAGUACGCGGGGAUCCCCUGUACUUGGAGCUACGAGAUGCAGUCCAUUCUCUAUCACAACAGCAGCGGGGCCCAAGCAUUCACCGGAAAUCUCAAGAAGAAGGAGGUUCAUCGUGCCAUUACUUUGCAUCCUGUGAAAAGUCCGCCUCACAUGUACAGGCUGCACAAUUACAUGAGGGGGCUGCAAAUACAAGAGCUGCAGCAGGAGAGGAUCCGCUUGCACCGAGACGUUCACACGAUGGCCCAGGAGCUCGGAGUCAGGCCGGAUACCCUGAAGAAUUACGAGCUAGUGGAGGGUCUGCAUCUUUUUCCGGCCGAUCCCAAUUCCGAGAAUUACCCGGGCGACACGGACGUACUAGGUGUACCGGCGAGUUUAAGUUCGUUCAAGCCGGCGACGAGUGACGAGGUGAUCCCGUGGGGCUUCCUCUCGCGGCUGGAAUACAGCUUGACCGACUCUAAUCCAAGGCGGCGUAUUCAUAGCGACAUUAAAGAGGGCCUGGAAGAUAUCACGAGGGAGGUCAUGGCCUCCAUUAAUUCCUGCUCGCGGCAGCGCGGCCGUGUUGUCGAGGAGCGAUCGGCGCUUUAUGGGUACAGAAGGGUGAACUCUUAUGGGGCUGACACGAUAUUAGAUCUUCUAUUAGUUUACCGGAAGUACCGGGGCAGGAAGGUCACUCUUCCCGUCAGACGACACGUUUAUCUCCAUCAGCACUUCAUUGGACUGGAGAUACGCGAGACGGUAAACGGCGUCGAAGUCGAUCCUCACCAAAGAUCAGACGACACGUCUAUCCACCAUCUGUUCCGCGGUGGUUUCCUGAAUCUCAACUUCAACCAGCAGGAAGAGGACUCAGUGCGAAGCAAGACCAUAAACUUCAUCCUGCCGUUGUCAGGCCGCUAUGAGAUUUUCCAGAGGUUCCUGAAGAACUACGAAGACAUCUGCCUGACCGUCGGCGAGAAGACGUCGCUGCUCGUCGUGCUCUACCAGCGCAAGGAUGAGAACUCCUUCAACAAGACGAUAGAUCUGAUCGAACGGCUCAAGUACAAGUAUCGCAGCGCCAGCAUGGAUGUCCUGUCGAUAUCCGGCGAGUUCUCCAGAGCCAGAGCCUUGGACACGGCCGUGUCGAAAUUGCAGCCCGAUGAUCUGAUGCUGUUCAUCGACGUGGACAUCGUUUUCACGAAUUCAGCGUUGAACAGAAUACGUCUAAACACGCUUCCAGGUCGGAGGAUAUACUUUCCGAUCGUCUUCAGCCAGUACAAUCCCCAAGUGGUAUACAGUGAAACCAGCAGGCAGGACAGAUUCACCAUAAACGAGGUCUCCGGCCAUUGGAGGCAGUACGGCUUCGGGAUCGUUUCUCUUUACAAGAGAGAUUACGUCACCAUCGGCGGGUUGGAUCUCUCGAUUCAGGGAUGGGGGAAGGAGGACGUGGAGUUCUACGAGAAGGCGGUCAAGUCGGGCCUCGACGUCUUUAGAGCCGCGGACAGGCAUCUGGUGCACGUGUAUCACGAGAUCGAGUGCAGCAAAGAGCUGCCGAGUCUUCAAUUCUCCAUGUGCAUGGGAUCCAAAGCUGACACGUACGCCGGCGUCGAGACCUUGUCUGACAUGAUUUACGCUAACCCGAAUAUACUGCACUUCGCCAAAGAGAGGAGACAGAAGAGGACCAAUCCGGCUGGCUGAUGGCAACAAGCUUGCAAUGUGAGAGAUUAUCGGCUGUCGAAAAUAGUUGUUAGAAAAAGAAGAUUCUAGUUGACAGUGAAAAACGACAUGAACUGCAUGAAGUUGCAGUGGAGAGAGAGAGAGAGAGAGAGAGAGAGAGAGAGAGAGGGGGGGAGAGAGAGAGAGAGAGAGAGAGAGAGAGAGAGAGAGAGAGAGAGAGAGAGAUGCGAUGGGGACGCGUGUCCCUUCGAGGUAGAGGCGUCCUUUUCGUCAGCGGUUCAGUCUUGGCGGGCAAUACCGACGAGCGGACCGUCCGAACUAAACCUCGGUGCCAGAUUGUUAGUUAGGUGUUGUAAAUAUGGAAUGUUAUUUCAUUCGAGUCUCAAGUAAGCUUUGAAAGAUUGGAAGGAUUUCACGCGCUCCGCUGUAAGACGAGAAACGUAUGUAUCGGCCGCAGCUUCGACGGAGAGACUAUAAUUCUCACAAGGUUUUUUAUCGUGAAAUGCGAUAAUCAAGAUAUUGAUGUAGGCGCAUGUGUCUUUUUUUAUUCCCGAAUUUAUUUACAAUGUAGGAUACACUGAUCUGGUAAUAGAGCGGAUCCUGCUAUACUGAAACUGCAUUAAUCAGCGAUGACUGCCGUAGCGAGAAGUUUAAUCACACUUCGGGAAUAACGAAAGACGCGUCGCCGACUAUCGACAAUCGAAAUCAAGUGUAAUGGCCUGUAUUUUAUAAGAUCGUUAGCGUCUGAAGUAAGUCUUAAUGCCGUAACGCUAAGUUUAAAUGUGAUAUUAUCGUGCCUUUGAUGAAACUUUAUUCCGCAAUCUUUCGUUUCGUACUGCCGAUCUCGUAACGCAUAAAAGCGCGUUACGGCUAUCCCGAUAUAUGUAGAUGUAAAUACUCUCGAAUUGUCUCUCUUGUUUCGCGCUUUUGUAUCCCCCUCGUGAUAACGUUCGAAAUACGCUGAGAUGCAGUCAAUCGAUGCAUCGAUCUCGUUCUCGGGAAAUUCGCCGGCGACUAGAACUUCUGAGAAACUCCGUAAUCAGAGAGGUGCAGAGGAGAGGUCAAACUUCGAUGAAAAAUAACAUUGAUGUUGCGAGGAAACGGAGUUGAAAAAGAACCGAUUGUUAGUCCACGCGAAUCGUGUUGCUAGCGAUAGCUUAUCAUCGAGCUUCUCAGCGACGUUCGGGGAAAAUAAAAACCAAAAGAGAAAUGUAACAGUUAGAGACGCAAUAAAUAACGAUAAUUUAUAGUUAUAUACUUGUGAUGUGUUUGGCAAUAAACGAGAACACAGAGAAUACUGUUUGCAAGAGAGCGCGAUUUUUCCUCAAGACGGCGCACGUCUACGAUGUGCACCUCAGAGUGCAAUUAUCGGUAAUAAAUGUUGUAUUGUUGCGUCAUCACGCAUGCAAGAGAUACGUUAUCGCUGUAAUGUUUAGACGUUAUAGUCGAUUAAUAUGCCUUUGAUUAUUCCGCAUGCAGUGAAUAUAUUUGCGACCGCAGUAACGGCCUGCGUCCUCCCGAAACCUCGCACCAAGAAAAGAAGAGAGCAGACACUGAAGAAUUUCCAUUUAUAUCGCUUGAUAAUGCGCUGCCUAACGACAACUGGCGUCUCAACGUGGCGAAGCUGUCGACAGUUGUCUUGCAUAUUAUUACGAUGAUGGUAGAUAAUAGCGUAUCACUCAAGCUCAAGGCCAUUCGCGAUCGUUCGCCGCGUUAACGGCAGACGGCGCAUUUAUAAGACCAGGUUGCGUCUCGUUUCCGCAUGAGUCUUCAACGCGUGUAAGUGCAAUCGUUAUCAGCAGUCCGCAUCAAAUUGCGCCUUAGAGAAAACCGCGAGAUUGUCGACUUAGCCUAGUAUCGAACGUAGAAGAAUACACCUUCCCGAGGAAAAUUCUUCAACAAGGAGACCUAGAAGGAAGAAGAGCUUCCUGAACAACCAGCAGUGGCUA
rnacentral:misc_RNA from 1 species